rnacentral:rRNA from 1 species
CAGCCGCCGCGGGAAUACGUAGGUGGCAAGCGUUGUCCGGAAUUAUUGGGCGUAAAGGGCUCGCAGGCGGUUUCUUAGGUCUGAUGUGAAAGCCCCCGGCUCAACCGGGGAGGGUCAUUGGAAACUGGGAAACUUGAGUGCAGAAGAGGAGAGUGGGAUUCCACGUGUAGCGGUGAAAUGCGUAGGGAUGUGGAGGAACACCAGUGGCGAAGGCGACUCUCUGGUCUGUAACUGACGCUGAGGAGCGAAAGCGUGGGGAGCGAACAGGAUUAGAUACCCGAGUAGUCCCUGUCUCUUAUAU